rnacentral:lncRNA from 1 species
CGAAAAAUAGAGCGACAAGUGUAACGAUCGAGUGAAUGAUGGUAUAGUGAGUUAAUAUCCGUCGUUGGCACUGGAAUCUACAUAAAUAAUUGGACCCAAAAUUAACCAAAACAUUUGGUCCGCGUGUAUACAUGAGAGCCCUCAUCUAUCAAUGCUAAGCCCACAAGCAAAGAUAACUCACCCUCUUCAAUUUACUACGUGUCAGUAUGCUAAAGGAGCAUUCAUAUUCUCCCCCACCAGGUGGAUGAAUAUGAGCACUGCUUCAUCAAGAGCGAGCCCCCCAUGCAUGGCCCUUCUCUCUUCUUCAUCUUCAAACCUUUAUAUCAUAUUUUUGUCCGUGUGUAUUCCAAUUUCCAGAUUCCAUUUCCAUUCUCUCACUUGAACAAGAUAAGAUCAGGGUCUUUUUCUCUUGUCUAUUGUGAGAUAUAUUUACUAACUACUACGGAGUCCUUGCUAACACAAGAAAUUUCCAAGACAUUAAUUACUACUCAUUUUUGUCUCAUCUAAUUGUAUACGCCGGAGAGUAACAAAAAAUUAAGAAAAAAUAUAAUUUGAUUGAGAAAAAUAACAAAAAUGGGUGAAACUAACUAAUAUUUUAAUGUAUAAAAAUGAGUGGUGUGGGUAUAUUUUUAGUGAAAAAAUAAAUACGGUUGAAAAGCAGUUUCCCCAUCAUCAUAAAAUAUGUUCAGGAAUGUCUUGCGUGUCUUUUUUUCUAGAGGGUGAUAAUCGUAAUUCAUUGUCUUUUUUUACAAAAACUCGUAAUCCAUUGUCUUAAUUAUUUUACUAGAUAAAUUCUAAAUUUAAUUUCUACCCAAAUGGUAUCAAGUUAAACUUUUUCCUUUUUCUAUUCAAAAUUAAAGGCGGGAUGUCGAAUUUCAUUAACAAACAGACACCUGAUUUUUCAUUAACAUAUUAAUUUUAUUAUGAGCUGAGAGGAAAGCUCAACCCCAGCUCUUGUGAGAAAGCGGGAGGAAAUAAUUGAUGAAUUAAACCCAUUAAUUAUUACUAUUAACAACAUAAUAUAUAUGUGAAUUAUUUCUCUCUACCCACCAAUAUGUUUAGCGACUGCAUAAUAGAAGAAUAUAAAUCAUUUAGAAACAGGCAAUCAGAUGCAUGGGCAACUCACCUAACUUUAUACCAUAUAAUAUCAAUGUUUGCUUAUCCAGUUUUUUUUUGUAAUCAAGUUAAAGCAACAUGCUGAAUGAGCUUGGAUCUGCAGUGCACAUGGGAAUUGCGUCCGUUGUUUUGUAUACCAUGGGGAGAGAGAUGAUAUAUAAUCUUGGCCAGCUCCUUCCCCGCCUUGAAGCAAGGGAUUUGCUAGCACCAACUGCUUGCUCAUGUAUAUAUAUGAAAAUCAGGAAUCGAAUCCAGUGGCGUCACGAAAAUAUUGUGUAUAAAUAGAUAGAUAUUGUCUCACAUAAGUGUGUGGAUUUCUUAAAAUAGCAGCAAUCUUACAAGAGGGGGGCUCUUAGGUUCAUUGAAGGGUCGUUUGGUUCCGGAGGUGACAUGGUGUUUGAACGAGGAUCCCAGUUAAGUGACAUGUAUUGAGGAAUCAUAUCCAAUAACGUGUUUUGUUGGCGGCUGGAAUUAAUAUUAUAAUAUUAUUAUUAUAUCAAACAUUAAUAUUUCAGUACUUUAAAUAGAGACUAAAGAUAAUAAAUGCAUCUCAUAACCACCUUUUCUUUUGAUUAUCAAUAAUACUUACCUUAAAAUUUUAAAAUAUAAAUUUAAAAUUUUAUUUUUUCCGAUCAAAAAAUUUGAAAUGGGCAAACCUUAUACUUCAUUGCACAUCCAGAGGACCGCCGGAUCUCAUAAAAUGAAGACUCGCGUUCUUCGGCUUGCAUUCACAUGCGUUCUUCGGCCUGAUGUUCACGUGAAUGUUCCUUGCCCGCCGCAUUACAAGGGUGAGAACCUCAGGUAACAACCAAGAUUACUAAUAAUGUCAAAUUAUCAAAAAAGUAUUAAUAUUUAUUUCAUUUCUCUCUAGUAAUAUAAAUAAAUGUUUUUCUUUAUUAGAAUGUGUUCCAAUCAAUGACAUUUAAAAUUAUUCGCCUGUUCAAAUAAGUGUAAUUACAUAUAGUCAACAAAUAUAUGUAGUUGAGACUAAUAUAUUUUUUAUUUUUAAGAGAAUGCCAAAAGAUGAUGCGGUCGUUUGAGCAAAUUUAAAAAAAGUGAUUUUUUAUUAUAAAAAAAAUAAGUGUAUUAGAAGUGAGAAGUAAAUUAUAAAUUUAUAAAGUGU